UGUGUAGGCGGUUCUUUAAGUUUGGUGUGAAAUCUCCCGGCUCAACCGGGAGGGUGCGCCGAAUACUGAGGGACUAGAGUGUGGGAGAGGAAAGUGGAAUUCCUGGUGUAGCGGUGAAAUGCGUAGAUAUCAGGAGGAACACCGGUGGUGUAGACGGCUUUCUGGAUCAUAACUGACGCUGAGACACGAAAGCGUGGGUAGCAAACAGGAUUAGAUACCCUGGUAGUCCACGCCCUAAACGAUGCAUAUUUGGUGUGGGUCAUUCAGUUGAUCCGUGCCGGAGCUAACGCGUUAAAUAUGCCGCCUGGGGAGUACAGUCGCAAGGCUGAA
rnacentral:rRNA from 1 species